rnacentral:lncRNA from 1 species
CUCUUAGUCAAGAGUUAGUUCUCAAAAACAAAACAAACUGUAACUACAGGUAAACAAAAUUUGGCCUUCUAGGAACUCUUCGUAUAGACAACGCUAAACUGUAUAUCUAUUUAAAGUAUCUAGCUGACUCCUCCAUUUACAGUCCAACAAUAUGAAAUUGAAUAGUAAUCUCUUUAGUCCUCUGCGUUACUGCCCCUGGAACAGCAGCUGCGACCAACAAAUUGCCUCAUGUAUAUACAAAAAGGAGAAAGCUUAGCACCAAGCUGGUGCCAGCUAAGGCAUU